rnacentral:rRNA from 1 species
UACGUAGGGUGCGAGCGUUAAUCGGAAUUACUGGGCGUAAAGCGUGCGCAGGCGGCUUUGCAAGACAGAUGUGAAAUCCCCGGGCUUAACCUGGGAACUGCAUUUGUGACUGCAUGACUAGAGUGCGGGAGAGGAGAGUGGAAUUCCUGGUGUAGCGGUGAAAUGCGUAGAUAUCAGGAGGAACACCGGUGGUGUAGACGGCUCUCUGGACCGUAACUGACGCUGAGGCACGAAAGCGUGGGUAGCAAACAGG